CCUACGGGAGGCAGCAGUGAGGAAUAUUGGUCAAUGGGCGGGAGCCUGAACCAGCCAAGUCGCGUGAAGGAAGAAGGUACUUAGUAUUGUAAACUUCUUUUGUCGGGGAACAAAGGCGGAGACGCGUCUCCGGAUGAGUGUACCCGAAGAAAAAGCAUCGGCUAACUCCGUGCCAGCAGCCGCGGUAAUACGGAGGAUGCGAGCGUUAUCCGGAUUUAUUGGGUUUAAAGGGUGCGCGGGCGGGAGAUCAAGUCAGCGGUAAAAUGUCGGGGCUCAACCCCGGCCGGCCGUUGAAACUGGUUGUCUAGAGUUGGAGAGAGGUAUGCGGAAUUCGUGGUGUAGCGGUGAAAUGCAUAGAUAUCACGAAGGACUCCGAUUGCGAAGGCAGCAUACCGGCUCCAUACUGACGCUGAGGCACGAAAGCGUGGGGAUCGAACAGGAUUAGAUACCCCUGUAGUC
rnacentral:rRNA from 1 species